CCGAGCGUGAGCGUGGUAUCACCAUUGAUAUUGCUCUCUGGAAGUUCGAGACCACCAAGUACUACUGCACGGUCAUUGAUGCCCCUGGUCAUCGUGAUUUCAUCAAGAACAUGAUUACUGGUACCUCCCAGGCUGAUUGUGCUGUCCUCAUCAUUGACUCCACCACUGGUGGUUUUGAAGCUGGUAUCUCCAAGGAUGGUCAGACCCGUGAGCAUGCUCUUCUUGCUUUCACCCUUGGUGUCAAGCAAAUGAUUUGCUGCUGUAACAAGGUGAGCUAACUUCUUGUUUUCUUGUUUACUUCUUAUAUUAUUUUGGUUUGUUUGCUAACAGAUGUGUUUAAUUUAUCUGGAUCUCAGAUGGAUGCCACUACCCCCAAGUACUCCAAGGCUAGGUACGAUGAGAUCAUCAAGGAGGUGUCUUCCUACUUGAAGAAGGUUGGGUACAACCCUGACAAAAUCCCAUUCGUCCCCAUCUCUGGAUUCGAGGGUGA
rnacentral:lncRNA from 1 species